rnacentral:rRNA from 1 species
GCCCAGACUCCUACGGGAGGCAGCAGUGAGGAAUAUUGGUCAAUGGGUGGAAGCCUGAACCAGCCAAGUCGCGUGAGGGAAGAAGGCCCUGCGGGUCGCAGACCUCUUUGGACGGGGAGCAAGGCCGCCGACGUGUCGGCGGAAGGAGAGUACCCGUAGAACAAGCAUCGGCUAACUCCGUGCCAGCAGCCGCGGUAAUACGGAGGAUGCGAGCGUUAUCCGGAUUUAUUGGGUUUAAAGGGUGCGCAGGGGGGGGGGCAAGCGGGGGGUCAAAUCGGGGGGCUCAACCCCGCCCAGCCGUCGGAACUGCCGGGCUAGAGUGGGCGAGAAGUGCGCGGAAUGCGUGGUGUAGCGGUGAAAUGCAUAGAUAUCACGCAGAACUCCGAUUGCGAAGGCAGCAUACCGGCGCCCAACUGACGCUGAAGCACGAAAGCGUGGGUAUCGAACAGGAUUAGAUACCCGUGUAC